AAUAAUAGAAUCAAGUCUUCUCUAUUCGUUCUCUCAAUUCUGAAGGGCGAAUCAAGUGCUUGCACGACCAGUCAGAGGGGAUUUGUUUUGGUUGCUUCGCUCCUUCUGAGAAAAUUGCCACUACCGGAGCUCCACCUAACAAGACCGGAAAUGGCCUUGACAGAUCACUUAUUAGUGCUUGACCUUAGUAACCCUGAUCUCCGAUAGAACGAUCUCCUCAAACUCUCUAAGUCUUGGGAGUGAUUUAUCAAAUUGAGAAAUGCACCAGGGUGCUCUCCAAAUUGCAAGUUAUUCUAACGUAUAUUGCAAGUUAUGCUUUGGCUACAUUUGACCUUAGGCAAAACUCUUUUGACAUUGGAUCCCAGGGCAGAGCAGGGGAUGUGAUGCCUAUGUUGUUGAAGGUACAUAGCAAAAACAAAAAAAGGUUAUUGAAGCAGAUGCUGAAUGCAUAAAUUGAGAAGUUGUUGUUGCUUCCAAGGCAAUUGAUGAAGGACCAUGGCCAAAGAUGACUACUUAUGAAAGACAAAUGGCGUUUUUGCAUUUUGCUAAUUUGAUUGAACAACACAAUGAUGAACUUGCAGCACUUGAGACAUGGGACGUUUAAUGCAAUACUAUGUUGGCAUUCUGCUGACAUAUCAGCAUCCGCUAUAUUAGCAUUGGCAAGCACCUUUCCUCAAUCCACAAAUGGAGAAAUGAUAGAAAGGAUUUAGUCCCGUUAUGAUUAUUUUAAAUUAUAUCCUAGAGUCACUUGCUUUGUUUCUCUUUUGACAUAGUGUUUGCAAAGUUCUCAAGAGAAUACUAAAUUACUAGUGCUGGUUA